UUCGUUGUCAAGGUAAGCCAGGGUGUGGCCAGGUAUUUAGAGGUCAAUUAAAAAUUAUAUUACAUCUACAGACCUCAAAGUUCAGGACAGAUAGAGAGAAUAAAUAAGACUCUAAAAGAGACCCUGACCAAAUUGACCAUGGAGACUGGCGUAGACUGGGUGACACUCCUUCCCUCUUGCUCUCUUCAGAGCAAGAAAUACCCCUUCCAGAGUCAGCUUUACCCCCUUUGAGAUCUUAUAUGGGGCCUCAGCUCCCCUGACUAUAUUAGAUGAUGUUACUGAACCAGCAUGUCAUAAUAAUAAUGAUUUGUAUGCCAGGCUAAAAGACCUACAGGUGAUACAGAAAGAAAUCUGCUCACAGCUGACAGCAGCCUAUGCCCCGGAGACCCCUGAGACAUGUCAUCAGUUCCAGGUCGGAGACUACAGCUACACUGAACCCAGACACUCGAGCCUCACUGGAAAGGACCAUACCUGGUGCUGCUGACCACCCUGACAGCCGUCAAUUCUCAGCCCUCACCAGCAGCGUACUAGCUGUUGGGGCUGAGAGCUGGGACCUAGAGGGACACUCAGUUCUUCAAAAAGCUCCCUAGACUUAAGUGACUGGGAGGUUGCUAUAAUGCUCACUUGAGGAGUGUGUUUUAGAAACAAGAAUUUCAUGUUUGCCUGUUUGCCCUGGGUUCCCUCGGAAUAGGUGUAGGGAUAGGCUUGAUUUUUAUUGCAAAUGAUGUAAUAUUACAUAUAUUAGUACUCCUAACACUUCUUGGGACUGUGCCUCAGGGAUCACAACCUAUAUAAGUUUAAAAGUUCUAAAAGACCUUGGUAUAUAGGUUCAGAUAGUGUCCAGAUUAGACCUGAUAUUCCUUAAAGAAAGAGUCUGUGUGCUACACUAAAAGAAGAAUGUUGUUUCUAUACAGAUCAGACAGGAAUAAUAAGAGAUAUAGUCUUUCAGUUAUUCAAACUUUUGUGCUGAGACAACAGUAUCAGAUGGUGAAACAACAAAAAAACAGAGGUACCUUAACCAAGUUGAGUGGAAGAUUCCACUCAAGGACAAAAAGAAAAUGGGGGAAUGAAAGACCCCCUCCCAGAAAGGGAAUUGUACAAGCCCAAGGCCCUCAACUAUAGAAGUAAAAAGUAAGUUUUUAGAUAUGUGGGACAAGCUGACCCAUCAUUUAGACGAAACAGACCAGAAAAGAAAACAAAAUGUAGAAACCAGACUAAAUUAUGGGCAUUGCUCCAUGGGCCACCUGGCAGGGAAAAAGAAACAGUCCCUGACCCCCCAGGAGACCCGACCACCAUGUACUUUUCACUAACUCAUUGUUAUGAUUAUAGCCAAAAUAGGUAACAUACACGUAUGUUUCAUUUACUCCACCAAUCACAUCCCUGUAACUAUGCAUCUGCUUCUGUAAGCCUGCUUCUGCUCCCCAAAAUACUAUAAAAAGCCCACCCUGGCUCUGUUAGGCGCGCCAGUCUUCCAAAUCGACUGGGACGCCCACAGAUACCUGUGUAUCCUGAUCAAUAAAAAUCCUCUUGCAGAUUGC
rnacentral:lncRNA from 1 species